rnacentral:lncRNA from 1 species
AGGCCUAUAAUUUUUACAACUUAUUUGGACACUGCAUAAGAUUCAUUCAUGUGCGCAUGAGUUAUUUGGAAGUGCUUGUCAUUAAAUUAAACGUGACUUGCUCCUCCUUGCCUUCAGCCAUGAUUGUGAGACCUUGCCAGCCACUUGGAACAGAAUGUUAUGAGGAAUGAAAUGAGAAUUAUAUCUAUCAAGAACUCGACAUAGAGUCAGAGGAUAUGUAAUGACUUAAGAUACCAAC